ensembl:lncRNA
CAGGCUCUUUACAGUCCCCUCACGCCAUGGCAGUUGCCCGCUUCCCUGACCGCUGCCUCAGCCUCUCACCUGUUAACUGCUCUCUAGGGUUUGUUAUCACCCAGUUAAGUGCGGCUGCGCGCACAGUCAUUGCCAUCCUCGUCAAGGACCCGGAUGCUUCUUUAAUUUUUUUUUUCCCCCUCACCAUCUGUCUUUCCUUUUCCUUGCCAUCCUCGGCCUGUGCCGUCACCACCCACCUAGUCGUGCCUCUGGCUCUGCUCCUGAGGGAUUCUGCACCACAGACUCCAUGGCAGAGCCCAGGUCCUUUGUUGUUUUAGUUCCUUCACCCUCCUCGUCAGAUGGCGAGAACUUGAAUUCUGCAGUCUGCUCUCUAGGUCUGUGCAUAUGAAUACAGAUGCCCGGGGAGCCCAGAGGAGUGGAAUCCCUAGAGCUGGAGGUGCAGAUGGGCGCCAGAAGAGGACAUUAGACUCCUUGGGACUAGACUCGUCUCACAUUUGGGCAAGAAUAACACAGAAGCGAUUUUUUGUGUCCUCAGAGCCUCAUGUUGGGAGCCACAGGAUGCUGAUUACCCCAUAACUGAUGACACUCGUCUACACUAACAACACAAGAAGAGACUAACCCAAGGGGAAAGGCAGCCCAGAGUUCCCAACCAUGUCCCUGCAUCUGUGUAGGCAGAGACCUUUACAAUGGAGGCUUCAUGGGGCCUGGGCACCUUUGGGAGUUAUAGCUGGAGUUACAAGUAUGGCAAGCGUCUGGACCUUGGUUUGAGUUUUUCUGUUGGCCUGCGGCUGGAAGAUCCUGCUAUCCUAAGCUUGGAGUGAGCCUUGUAGGCAAAUCAAGUGAGCUUACAGUUGGUCC